rnacentral:misc_RNA from 1 species
AACGCACAUUGCGCCCGCCAGUACUCUGGCGGGCAUGCCUGUCCGAGCGUCAUUUCAACCCUCAGGGCCCGUCCGCGGGACCUGGCGUUGGGGAUCGGCUGCCCCUGGCGGCUGCCGGCCCUGAAAUACAGUGGCGGUCUCUUCGCGACCUCCCCUGCGUAGUAGUGAUACCUCGCAGCCGGAUAGCGGAGCGGCCACGCCGUAAAACCCCCUACUUCUCAAGGUUGACCUCGGAUCAGGUAGGAAUACCCGCUGAACUUAA